GUAUUUGUGAUUUGGCCAGCAAGCUAAGUUAUUCAAGUUUGCUUGGGAGCAUUAAUCCUAUGAGCAGAUCUAGAGUUUAUCAAGCUUUGGCAGAAGAAGAUAUUGAAGCUGAUGCCAAGGGCAAUGAUGUUGAUCUCAGUCUGAUAUUGAUCAAUGUGAAGCAUAUUACGAAGCUGCUAGGGGAACAAGGAAGAGAAGAAUAUAUGGUCUUGGAUCUCAAGCACAAAGUUAUCUGCUUUUUGUUGGAAAGAACAAAAUUAUGCACUAACAAUACUUGAUGGAUGUGUGGGUUCUUUUGGUAGUUGACAGCUUGGUGUUGUCGGUGUUUUGGACUUAACGAUUAGGAUUUCGCUAUCUAUUUUGAAUCUUUUUUAUAAA